GUCUGAACGUUGAUCCCCUGAAUAAGGGCUAGGGUCUGAACGC
rnacentral:sRNA from 1 species